rnacentral:tRNA from 1 species
GGGGAUGUGGCUCAGUGGUAGAGCACUUUCCUAGCAUGUGCGAGUCCUGGGUUCCAUCCCCAGGACCCCAA